rnacentral:rRNA from 1 species
GAUGAACGCUGGCGGCGUGCCUAAUACAUGCAAGUCGAGCGAACGGACGAGGAGCUUGCUUCUCUGACGUUAGCGGCGGACGGGUGAGUAACACGUGGAUAACCUACCUAUAAGACUGGGAUAACUUCGGGAAACCGGAGCUAAUACCGGAUAAUAUUUUGAACCGCAUGGUUCAAUAGUGAAAGACGGUUUUGCUGUCACUUAUAGAUGGAUCCGCGCUGCAUUAGCUAGUUGGUAAGGUAACGGCUUACCAAGGCAACGAUGCGUAGCCGACCUGAGAGGGUGAUCGGCCACACUGGAACUGAGACACGGUCCAGACUCCUACGGGAGGCAGCAGUAGGGAAUCUUCCGCAAUGGGCGAAAGCCUGACGGAGCAACGCCGCGUGAGUGAUGAAGGUCUUCGGAUCGUAAAACUCUGUUAUUAGGGAAGAACAAAUGUGUAAGUAACUAUGCACAUCUUGACGGUACCUAAUCAGAAAGCCACGGCUAACUACGUG